rnacentral:rRNA from 1 species
AUUGAACGCUGGCGGCAUGCCUUACACAUGCAAGUCGAACGGCAGCACGGGUGCUUGCACCUGGUGGCGAGUGGCGAACGGGUGAGUAAUACAUCGGAACGUACCUUAUCGUGGGGGAUAACGCAGCGAAAGCUGUGCUAAUACCGCAUACGCACUGAGGGGGAAAGCGGGGGAUCGCAAGACCUCGCGCGAUUAGAGCGGCCGAUGCCUGAUUAGCUUGUUGGUGGGGUAAAAGCCCACCAAGGCGACGAUCAGUAGCUGGUCUGAGAGGACGAUCAGCCACACUGGGACUGAGACACGGCCCAGACUCCCACGGGAGGCAGCAGUGGGGAAUUUUGGACAAUGGGGGCAACCCUGAUCCAGCAAUGCCGCGUGAGUGAAGAAGGCCUUCGGGUUGUAAAGCUCUUUUGUCAGGGAAGAAACACCGGCUCUAACACAGUCUGGGAAUGACGGUACCUGAAGAAUAAGCACCGGCUAACUACGUGCCAGCCGCCGCUGUAA